UGGGGAAUAUUGCACAAUGGGCGAAAGCCUGAUGCAGCAAUGCCGCGUGUGUGAAGAAGGCCUGCGGGUUGUAAAGCACUUUCGGUAGGGAAGAUAAUGACGGUACCUACAGAAGAAGCACCGGCUAACUCCGUGCCAGCAGCCGCGGUAAUACGGAGGGUGCUAGCGUUGUUCGGAAUCACUGGGCGUAAAGCGCACGUAGGCGGAUUUGUUAGUCAGGGGUGAAAUCCCGGGGCUCAACCUCGGAACUGCCUCUGAUACUGCAAAUCUCGAGUCCGAUAGAGGUGAGUGGAAUUCCUAGUGUAGAGGUGAAAUUCGUAGAUAUUAGGAAGAACACCAGUGGCGAAGGCGGCUCACUGGAUCGGUACUGACGCUGAGGUGCGAAAGCGUGGGGAGCAAACAGGAUUAGAUACCCCCGUAGUCCCUGAGCGGGCUGGCAAGGCGCAU
rnacentral:rRNA from 1 species